UUUUUUUUGGGAAUUUUUUUUUAUCAGUAUAAUCUGCCCUUGAGGAAGUUGGUGCACAGCUUCUUCCAUGCCUCCUUAUCUGGCUCUUGUCCAUCCAAAUUUGCCCUGAUCUCAUCAGCAAAUGAUUCCACAAUAAGAUUACGUUGGAGAAGACGAUCAACCAAGUGGGAGAGAAUGUCUCUGUUGUACUCAGGAUGACCUUGGAUGCCCAUGAUGUGAUCUUCAUACCUAAACAUCUCAAUCCCAGUCUUAUCAGACCAUGCAAUCACCUCAGCUUCUGGUGGGAGUUCACGGACCUCGUCCCUAUGGCACUCGAUCACAGCUAGUGACGCAGGCACUUUCACUGACGAGAAUAGUUUCGUUGAUGAUGAGAAAUGGAUGGUUGUGAUUCCCAUAUCCCAGCCAGAGACGGCAGGGCCUGUUUUUCCUCCCAGUGAACGCGCCAGUAUCUGGUGUCCAAAACAAAUUCCAAGAAUUUUCUUCUUCAUGGAAUUCAACUUUUGCAAGAGAAUCAAGAGCUUUAGGAUCCAAACAUCAUUUCCAUGAGCAUCAUUACAGCUUCCAGUGAUGACAAACCCAUCAAAGGUUUUAAUCUCUUCAUCAUCAGGAAACUCUCCACAAGCUACCUUAUAAACAUCCCAUGUCUCUCCUUCCUCUCCCAGCAUUCUCAAAAACACUCCAAAGUACCCUCCAUACUUCAUUUUCACAUACUCAGGGUCCUCUGCACACAGAAGAACAGCAAAUUUCUUUCCACCCAUGUCUAUGAUUUCCUCCCUUGAACCAAAAAUACUCUUCUUCCUUUAUUCUGUUUAAUGUGAAAAUGUGACUCUUCCUCUCUCUAACAAGCCUCCGCCUUUAGAGAGAGAAAAGAGAUGGAGGAGAUGGGUUUCCUUCCUCUGUUAAGAAAGGAGGGAUUUCAGAUACAGAGGAAGGAAAGAGACACAAACAGAGAGAGACGGCUUGGUUUAGUUUUAC
rnacentral:misc_RNA from 1 species